rnacentral:lncRNA from 1 species
GGAAAGGUGCACAGAUAUCUGGCCUUAGGACCUCCCUCCUGUCCGAAGAGGAAGGCCCAAAACAAGACCUGUCCUGAAGCUGAGUUGCUUUGGCCUGUCCCAGAAGUUGUUAGCUUCUGUAUUCUACACUCUCACCUGUGCAGAAUACUCUCGGAGGAGUCCUGGAACCAAGAUGCCUGCAGCCGAUGCUCAGGCCAAGCGCUCCCAGCCUGGGCUGACCCCUAUCCUCUGACAGGUCAACAGGUGGUUUUUGCAGACUCUACCAAGUUAAAGACUCAAGAUGGCUAAGACCUGGUGAAGGAGACAUGUCCAGAAGAGGAGCAAGAUUCAAACGGGGAAGAAGAAAACAAGUCAGUAAAGAGCAUUAACAGCAAAAGCAUCAGGAGCGCAGAGUUCCUCUAGCUCAGUGGUUCUCACCCUUCCUAACGCCGUGACCGUUCCUGUGACAGUUCCUCACAUUGUGGUGACCCCCACCAUAAAGUUUUUCUAUUGCUUCUUCAUCAUUAUAUGUUUGCUACUGUUAUGAAUAAAAUGCAAAUAUCUAUGUUU